UACGUAGGCAGCAAGCGUUGUUCGGAGUUACUGGGCGUAAAGGGUGCGUAGGCGGCCCUGUAAGUAUGGUGUGAAAUCUCCCGGCUUAACUGGGAGGGUGCGCUAUAGACUGCGGGGCUCGAGUGUGGGAGAGGAAAGUGGAAUUCCUGGUGUAGCGGUGAAAUGCGUAGAUAUCAGGAGGAACACCGGUGGCGAAGGCGGGUCUCUGGGCCGAAAUUGACGCUGAGGCGCGAAAGCUAGGGGAGCAAACAGG
rnacentral:rRNA from 1 species